UCCUGUGUAUUACAGGUAAAUACUGUUGAUAUUUGAAUUUUGGCGGUUAGAACUUCCGAGAGGAGAGGAAGCAAUGGCGGAGCCUGUAUAAUCACCGGAGCAAGGCUAAGAAUUCAGCGGAUUGAGCUGGAGGGAUCCACACACAGUGAGCACCACCACUGAAGCCCAUGGUGACCAAACACAAUUGAAGGGGAUUUUGAGCUACAGGUGGAGGGAUGCCAAGGGAAGCCAUAUGCAGUGAGUGCCACCACUGAAGACCUGAAGUAAAACACAGAGGAGAAGGGGAUUUUCAGAUGUUUUGUUGGAAUCAACCCCAGCAGUGGCACGAAAACAGCAAAGCUGAAGAACACCAUCAAUCCUCAUGUCUCCUCCCUGCUGAGGUGGCUGAUGGACUAUGAAUGGCUUUCUGCUUAGGAUCCAAAAGAUAAGAACUGUUCUACAUUGUUUGAUGAUGUUCUUUUAUUGUUUAAAAGCAAUGUGUUGUUUUAAGAGCUGCAGAACAAACUUUUGUCUUUGUUCAACCUGAACAUUUGCACUCACAUAAAAACACACAAAUACAACCAAGGAGUUACAUUCAGCAUGCACAAGAAUGCACACACACUAGAGUCACACACUCACAAGCAGCCUGGGAUCCAGGUAAACCUAGUGUUCAGUGUUCAACCAGUGACAUGGCGAGAUGCAGACAGCUGGCAGACGUGUUUCCCAAAAAUGCAUAUGCCUUGUUUUUGUAUUUCUGCACCACAGUUAAUAAUUUUGGACUCAGGUUUGCAUCUAUAUGUUUGGAUAUUUUGAGAUGAGAUAGCUUGGUCUCUCAGCCUAAAAGUGUACAUAGCUACUCCUGUAAAGAUGCUCCAGGUAAG